UUACGACCAGAUCACGUUGAAGAACCGACUCUCUUGCGAUCACCGAAGUUAAACAACAUCGAACCGGCUCAGUACUUAGAUGGGUAACCAUUUGGGAAUAUCAGGUGCUGUAAG